ACACUAGUCAGAAGGUAGUCGGGAAGCGGUCAUUUUACAUAGCGUGUCAGUAUUUUUUCACCUUUGCGAUGGAGUUUGUAUCUUUAAACGAGGACGAAUACGAAGCGAGCCAACUUAAUGUUAAAAACGAGGAGUGCUGUGUCCAGCCAUAUGCGUUUGAGCCGUUAGUUAGGCGUGAAUUACGGGACAACACCGAGGAAAGUGGAGAAAGUAGGAGUAGCGAUGAUGACCACGCUAGUAGGCCGACAUCAUCGUCGUCCGACUCAGAAUCUGCCAGUGAAGAGGAUAUUGACGACCGUUCCCAUCGACUGACAAAUACUGACUGGUGCAAAUGUGGCAACUGUGUGAUUAUGCCCACAGUGGAUGAAUGCAAGUGCUGCACUGAAACGCACCUUGUUGAUCAGGAAGUCGAGUCAGCUGGGCUGCAAUGUAUAACCUUACAUGAAGGCUUUCAGGGAAACUGCCUCAACCAGUAUGUCCUCAAGGCAUCUUUUGUUGAAUUUUUGGAGGGACAUGGUCCUCUUGGAAAUGAUGAACCAAUAAACAAGAUUUACAGGUACAUUGCAUAAAGAAGAAUGAUCAGAUGGAUUUGGGGACGGAUUGGAAAAAGAAAUAGGAAAGUUCUUCCAUCCUGUGCAGUGAAUAAAAUAAAAGAGACCUGGGAGUCAGCAGACUACACUGGUUUUAAAUACCCAACUGUGUGAACCUCGACUUCCUAGUUGCCACAACUGUUGGAAAGUUCUCAAAUGAGUGUUCAUGGAUGUCUACAAUGUGGUUCAUCACCGACUUCCACUUGGCCACAACCAGCUCAGCAUUUCCAUCACUGCUUGCCCCACACCAAUAUACAUGGUUGGAGAUGCUGUGGAUCCACGAUGAGCAGCUCUUGCUUUUUUGACCAGAGACUAUUCACAGCUGGAAUAAGUACUACAUCCACUAAACAUUAUGGAAGCGGCUAGCUGUAAGUUGCCAAGUGGCAUGGUGCCAUGUGAUGGCUGAAUUUUCCAGGUCUUCACAUGAGAGGGGUCAACACUACACUGUGAUGUCAAGGUCACCAUGGUGCCCGAUACCCUUGUAGAUAUUAUUUUGCAGGCAUUCCCACAUAAAAAACACAAGGCUAGGAGGAACUGAAGACACGAUUCGAAGACUAUGAACUUCCUCUCUCUCAUAGGGGUGUGAGUAUAUUCUCUAAACAAAAAAAGAUAAAUACAAAAUUUAAUGAUCACAAUUUUAAAUUAAUCCAUUGUGUUAUUUGAUGUUUUUACUUACUCAUCGCUCAUUUCCAUUUCAAAAUCUCGGUCAGAGUCUUCAUCUUCCUCAGGAAUGUAGUCUAAAUCACCAUCAUCAUCAGCUGUAGCAGCACUACUGUCGUCUGAAAAAUCCACUUCCAUUGAAGAACAGUUCUUUUCAACCGAGUUGCCGAGCUUAACCUUGCAGGAAAAAUCCUUUGCUCUCGAAAGCAGGCUUUGGGUCCCACAAUGACAUUUGGCAACUGGAGUGACAUGCCAGGAUUUUGGAGUUUGACAUGAUCUAGUGCAUUUCACAACUAUUUCAGUCUGUGACAUUUUAUUCUGAAAAUGAAUAAAAAAUGAAAUGUUUACAAUUCUGAAAAUAAGUUUUCAAAAGUUCUUUGGGUCGGGAUUUAUAAAAUUCUAAUUCCCAUGUCUUGCUCUUUUGUAGAGAAAAUUAAGUUUUAUGGAAGGAAUUAUUAAAUUUAUAUUAGACCCAGUCCUACAUACCAUUCCAGUUGACAUUGUCUGUACACAUGCAUGGGUGGUCAGAGAUAGUUCAAAAAACACAUUAGGCUUGGCAUUCGUUGAGAUGUCGGUUUCAUAGCAAGCCUUUGCAUCAUCCGACGACUCCAUUUGACAAACACUUGCCUCAUAAGCUUGUAGAGCACAGCUAACUGUCUGAAAUAUAUGUAAUGGAAGAGAUUACAGUGGAUAAAAAA